ACUGUAAGCAUUUGAAGAGUGUUGAUUUGCUUUACUGCAAUGGAAUUUGGGUGGAAGGCGUUGAGUUUGUAAUUCUGAAUUCUCCGGAGUUGAGAAAUGUACAGGUUGAAGAUCGUAAGUUAUCGGAAGCUGCAAGAAGAUGGAUGGCGAGUAAGUUUAUUGAGGUUCAAUCCUGAAUCCUGAUUAAGAACAGCAGAAAACUAUGCACAGCUAAAAGAUCUUUCCUAAUUUGAAUACGAAGCGUCCUCAUGUCGGCUCAGUAGGAUCAACCCAUGCGCAAGAGGCGCAUGACAAGUGAAAAAUCACCGCGAUGUAAACACAAGUCGACAUACUUUUGUACUUACCCACGAUUUAUUUUGGAAAUGGAAGAUUUUAGCUCAAACUUUCUAUAAUGAUUGGUACUUAUUUAUGUAAUGGUUGGUUUGUCAAGUACCAAGUAGAGCUUGAUGGACUUUUGGGAUCUAUCGAUCGACAUACAGAUUCGAUGUUUUAAAUGUGGUUGGAGGUGAAAAAGAAGAAGAUGCAUACAUGGUGCUGAACAUUCCUAGGUAAAUGAUAAAGUAUAAUGUUCAUGACAAGCAUCUCCUAUAAAAGAAAAAUUGUCAUUUAGUAGCAUACAAAAAGUAUCACUAGAAGCGAUGACACUACAUCCUUUUAGUGCCACCUUUUAAUACGCAGCUACAAAGUUUUGGGCUUUUAGUGGCACAAAUUUUGUGUCGCUAAGAAUUAUUCCUAAUUACAUAUCCGUAAUACUUUUAGUGACAACUUAGUUUUUGCCACAAUAUAAAAAGACUUUUGUCGCACAAAUUGUCU